rnacentral:rRNA from 1 species
GACGAACGCUGGCGGCGUGCCUAAUACAUGCAAGUAGAACGCUGAAGAGAGGAGCUUGCUCUUCUUGGAUGAGUUGCGAACGGGUGAGUAACGCGUAGGUAACCCGCCUUGUAGCGGGGGAUAACUAUUGGAAACGAUAGCUAAUACCGCAUAACAAUGGAUGACACAUGUCAUUUAUUUGAAAGGGGCAAUUGCUCCACUACAAGAUGGACCUGCGUUGUAUUAGCUAGUAGGUGAGGUAAUGGCUCACCUAGGCGACGAUACAUAGCCGACCUGAGAGGGUGAUCGGCCACACUGGGACUGAGACACGGCCCAGACUCCUACGGGAGGCAGCAGUAGGGAAUCUUCGGCAAUGGGGGCAACCCUGACCGAGCAACGCCGCGUGAGUGAAGAAGGUUUUCGGAUCGUAAAGCUCUGUUGUAAGUCAAGAACGGGUGUGAGAGUGGAAAGUUCACACUGUGACGGUAGCUUACCAGAAAGGGACGGCUAACUACAUG